GGGCCGCUAGCUCAGUUGGUAGAGCACUUGACUUUUAAUCAAGUGGUCGAAGGUUCGAUCCCUUCGCGGCUCAC
rnacentral:tRNA from 2 species